UGGGGACUCUAAACAGACUGCCUGUGCAAACAGAGAGGAAGGAGGGGACGACGUCAAGUCAUCAUGGCCCUUACGUCCGGGGCUACACACGUGCUACAAUGGAUGGUACAGAGGGCAGCGAGCUAGCAAUAGCAAGCCAAUCUCAAAAAGCCAUUCACAGUUCGGAUAGAGGUCUGCAACUCGACCUCUUGAAGUUGGAUUCGCUAGUAAUCGCAGAUCAGCAAUGCUGCGGUGAAUACGUUCCCGGGCCUUGUACACACCGCCCGUCAAGCCAUGGAAGUUGGGGGUACCUAAAGUUCGUAACCGCAAGGAGCGACCUAGGGUAAAACCGAUAACUGGGGCUAAGUCGUAACAAGGUAGCCGUACCGGAAGGUGCGGCUGGAAUACCUCCUUUCU
rnacentral:rRNA from 1 species